rnacentral:rRNA from 1 species
GAUUGCAGGCUGCAACCCGCCUGCAUGAAGUUGGAAUCACUAGUAAUCGCGGAUCAGCAUGCCGCGGUGAAUGCGUUCUCGGGCCUUGUACACACCGCCCGUCACACCAUGAGAGUCGGGAACACCCGAAGUCCGUAGCCUAACCGCAAGGGGGGCGCGGCCGAAGGUGGGCUCGAUAAUUGGGGUGAAGUCGUAACAAGGUAAC